UCCCAGAAUGGUUACUCCUAAGGCGGAAGCUUUGUUACUGUACCGGAGAGAAAAGACUUGACUUCGAAAAUUCCCUAGAUUGAGCGUACCUCCGAAUUCCCAAGGGUUACGCAGCACCAGCAAAGCUCAACAAGGCGCUUAGAAACAAGUUUAAAAGAAAUUAGAGCUGGGAACUGGAGUACAGGAAAACUUAUUUUGGUGAUGCUACCAAGAAUGACCAUCAAAUUAACAUCAUUAUUAUCAAGCAGCACUCCAGAAUAGUAUCGAACAGGUGUCACGCACCUGGUGCCCACAUUGGACACACAGGACAGGAGUUAGUAAACGAAUGUAACCUGUUAAAAGUUUCAUAGUAUGAAUUAAAUUAAAGGUUUUCUAUUUCAUUCGAAGUCAACAACAAUCAUCGGAUGUGGUCAGUCCCAAAAAUAAACCUUCUUAAGCGGCACAUCAGACGUUUGGUUUGCAUGGAAUUGAACCGAGCUAAGCGUGGCAGAUAUUUUGGGAAGCUAUCUGGUCAGGCCGAUACAAUGGAUACGAUUGUAUGUUACUUGAUCUCUAAAGAUAACUGCAUUUGCUUCGCUGUAUUUAGCAUAAUCAGAAGUUUAAAAGAAACAGGACUGUGCAGGAUCUAGUUAACGAUAAACAAUCUCUCAAGCAAUAUGGAGAACUUGCUAUUCAUUGCAGCAGCCGAAAUAAGGGAACCGUCGAACCAGCCCACUUAAGAGCCAAGAUUAAUUGUUUGGUUUGAAUGAUAAUAACUGUUUCGUUAGUAUACACUUAGGCGUUGUGAGAAAGAUCAUUUGGAUUGUAUAGUGAAGAUUUAGUAGUAUUUAGG